CUGGCGGCGCGUUUUAAGCAUGCAAGUCGAGCGGCAAGGGCCUUCGGGCCCCUAGAGCGGCGGACGGGUGAGUAACACGUGGACAAUCUCGCCCCCCGGCCCGGGAUAGCCCAGGGAAACCUGGAUUAAUACCGGAUGAGACGGGACCCGCGAUGGCGGGAUCCGGGAAAGGCGCUGCGGCGCCGCCGGGGGAUGAGUCUGCGUCCCAUUAGCUAGACGGCGGGGUAACGGCCCACCGUGGCGACGAUGGGUAGCCGGCCUGAGAGGGUGGACGGCCACAUUGGAACUGAGACACGGUCCAGACUCCUACGGGAGGCAGCAGCUAAGAAUCUUCCGCAAUGGGCGAAAGCCUGACGGAAGCGACGCCGCGUGAACGAAGAAGGCCGUGAGGUUGUAAAGUUCUUUUCGGGAGGGGGAACAACCGUGGCAGGGAAUGGCCGCGGGAUGACGUGAAUCCCGGAAUAAGCCCCGGCUAACUACGUGCCAGCCGCCGC
rnacentral:rRNA from 1 species